rnacentral:lncRNA from 1 species
CAAGAAGCAUGGGCGCUACUGGAUUGGCAACAGCGUCAUCGACAGGUCGACUACUCCCACCCUCUCCCAGAUCCGAGCAUCGACCACGAGCGUGAGCAACCGCCCGCCCAUACGCCCACGGCCGGAGCCGGCACAGCACCGGGUCGACGCACUCCAGGUUGUUCAUCAUUUUUCAAUAGUUCUACUUCGCGUUGCUUUUCUUACCUUUGCAUUACUCUAACAUUUGAUUUUCAAUGUUGUAGGCUGAGCUCGAAGCAUCAAGGGCCGAGCAGCAAAGGAUGGCUGAGC